rnacentral:lncRNA from 7 species
GGCGCUCCUGGAAGCUCUGCAACUAUGCUCCACUUCAAAUGGACCCAUAACUGGUGUUACACCCCCACUCCCUGCCACCACAAAUACUGAGUCCAUUCCAGGAAUAGAAACCGCCGAAGGAUUACAUUCUCCACGGAGAACGAUCUCUAUGAAGGAAGAAGAUGGACAAUGUCUAUACGCCAUCUUCAGUUGGUAACGCUGUGGCAGUUAGCAUAACCAGUGCUAGGCAAGAUUCAACCGCACUGGCUGCGGUAUGCGUGGCCAACCGGAGUGAGGACAAAUCCCAUUCCGUCUGAAGACUGUCUCCUGCCAGAGAUCAAAUGCAGCUCGCACAUACAUGACACCAAGCAGAAGCAAGUACUAUUCCAUUACAAAUGAAGCAGAGAGAGCCAGAAUUAUUUGGUCAGCUUGGUAUUCAAAAUGGUUGAGAUUCUGACCUUCCCACUCCUUCCUUAAUUAUCUUGAUAAUUUUGGCAAGAGGAGGUUUGUGGGGUGGAGAGGGAUAAUUCUGAAAGAAUUAAAUAAUUAUAGCAGUCAGGAAAUCCAUCCAGGGUUUUAUAAAUUCCUGCAUAAUAGUUCAAAAUCUCUUGAUUUUUCAUCGUGUAUAAGCUAAAUUCAUUAGCACAUACCUUAGAUCAUCUGUUAGAUGCCUAGCAGUGUAAAAACACAGGGCCUGUGAAGUGUUUUUUUUGGUUUUGUUUUGUUUUUAAUCUUGACUUUUACAGAAUAAAAACUACCACCACCAACAACAACAAGAGAACAGACAUGUUGCAUUUAAAAUUGUACCUAUUUCUUUCUGGCUCUCAGCUUUUCUUUUAAUGCCGCAGUAAUACCACUGUUCAUUUCCUGUUCAACUUCAAACCUACCUUUUGAUUCUUCCAAUGUCCCUUAGGCUAAUGUUUUCACAAAGAAUGAAAUGAACAGACAGAAACAAUUAAGUGAGCAGAUACAGUGAAAAGGAACACCGGCUGCCGCUUUCACACGACUGGAAGUGUAGGAAUGAAUUCUGCUUGGAAUCUGAUCCUCCAGCCACAGGGCUUUUGCUGCUCACAUCAUUUUUCUUCUGCAAACCCCCCUCAGCCCCCAGUGUACUGCACGCCACUUUUCCUUUAUGGAAGGAAAAGAUCGAGGCACACAAAGAAAGGCCCAAAUACUCACAGGCACGGGAAAUAUUUUCUCUGCCUGUUACUAGGACCGGAUAAGCUCCAAGAAAGAAAAUCCACCUAGAUAUUUUAAACUGGGGAAUGUCUCCCCAAAGCCUGGUAAAUGUUCACAUGUGUCUUCAUGAAAUUUGUAAUAUGGAUUGUUUACACAGCCCUGAUUGAGGGCAUGAGCACCAUUAAAAAGGAUCAAGUCGGUUUAGGGAUGGAAAAUUGUAGAAACCAGAGCUGUUAUCCACAAGGAGAAGUGUAGGUUUUGGUUUCUUUGAAACAAUAAUACGCAGGACUUGAUAUUAAAAGGUAUUUCAACAGCCAAGAGUAAGCUGUUGGUGACCCUUCGAAGUUCUAUAAGGAAUCAACAAGGUGGUAAGUCACUCUCCUCAAACAGGUCUGAAGGCAAGUGUUGAUGACAUGGCUGGGGCUCUAUGACAUCUCCUUCUCUCUCUUUCCAGUAGCACACUAAGAGAUUUUCCAUGGCGGGAGCUCGGCACUCCUGGAGUGGGGUUUACUUUGUUCAGGCGUUGUGUUGGUAUUUGAGGAGACUGGCUACAACUCCACAAGGCGGUUGCUGAGGAUGGAGCCUCUGUGUAUCUCAGAAGACUGCAGUUCUUACUGCUAGGAGACUGCAUGGCUAGUUCCCUCUGAGUUAAGCUUCUAUUUUUGAAGCCCAGAUGCAAUAAGGAGGUGCCUAUGAUAGACACAGAAUACAAACCCCACACAGCUUAAAGCUGGCAGAUGUCUUCUGCAAAACGAUGCCACACCUUGACCCUGAAUGAGGAAGAAGGCAGGGAUCCAUAGGAUUAUCCGGAGUGGAAAACAUGGCUUCCACUUCUAAUUUGUUUUUUAAAAACGGAAUCAUACCUAUGAAUUUCUUAAUAAAAUAUCUUUCUUGUAAAA